CGAACGCGAAAGUUCCCUUCGGGGAGCUAGUAGAGUGGCGCACGGGUGAGUAACACGUAGGUAAUCUACCUUCGGAUGGGGAAUAACACCGAGAAAUCGGUGCUAAUACCGCAUAAUGCAGCGGCACCUAAUGGUGACAGUUGUUAAAGCGGGGGAUCGAAAGACCUCGCGUCUGAAGAGGAGCCUGCGGCAGAUUAGCUAGUUGGUAAGGUAACGGCUUACCAAGGCGAUGAUCUGUAGCCGGCCUGAGAGGGCGGUCGGCCACACUGACACUGACAUACGGGUCAGACUCCUACGGGAGGCAGCAGUCGGGAAUUUUGGGCAAUGGGCGAAAGCCUGACCCAGCAACGCCGCGUGAAGGAUGAAAUCCCUCGGGAUGUAAACUUCGCAAGAACAGGAAGAAUAAGUGAGAGUUAACACCUCUUACGAUGACGGUACUGUUUGUAAGCUCCGGCUAACUCCGUGCCAGCAGCCGCGGUAAUACGGGGGGAGCAAGCGUUGUUCGGAUUUACUGGGCGUAAAGGGCGCGUAGGCGGCCACCGCAAGUCGAUUGUGAAAUCUCCGGGCUUAACUCGGAAAGGUCAACCGAUACUGCGGGGCUAGAGUGCAGAAGGGGCAACUGGAAUUCUCGGUGUAGCGGUGAAAUGCGUAGAUAUCGAGAGGAACACUGCGGCGAAGGCGGGUUGCUGGGCUGACACUGACGCUGAUGUGCGAAAGCUAGGGGAGCGAACGGGAUUAGAUACCCCGGUAGUCCUAGCC
rnacentral:rRNA from 1 species